rnacentral:rRNA from 1 species
GAUGAACGCUGGCGGCGUGCUUAACACAUGCAAGUCGAACGGAAAGGCCCAACCUUGCUUGGGUACUCGAGUGGCGAACGGGUGAGUAACACGUGGGUGAUCUGCCCUUCACUUCGGGAUAAGCUUGGGAAACUGGGUCUAAUACCGGAUAGGACCUCAUUUUGGAUGGUGUGGUGGAAAGUUUUUCGGUGUGGGAUGAGCUCGCGGCCUUUCAGCUUGUUGGUGGGGUAAUGGGCUAACAAGGCGUCGGCGGGUAGCCGGCCCGGGAGGGGGUACGGCCACAGUGGGAAUGGGAAUAGGCCCAGAACCCUACGGGGGGGAGGAGGGGGGGAUAAUGGAAAAUGGGGGGAAGCCUGAUGCCGCGAAGGCGCGGGGGGGAUGAAGGCCUUCGGGUUGGAAACUCCUUUCGCUAGGGAAGGAGCGGUAUGUGACGGUACCUGGAGAAGAAGCACCGGCUAACUACGUG